rnacentral:rRNA from 1 species
UACCAGCACCCCGAGUGGUCGGGCCGAUUAUUGGGCCUAAAGCCUCCGUAGCCGGUUUUACAAGUCCUCCGUUAAAUCCAGCUGCUUAACAGAUGGGCUGCGGAGGAUACUAUAAGACUAGGAGGCAGGAGAGGCAAGCGGUACUCAGUGGGUAGGGGUAAAAUCCGUUGAUCCAUUGAAGACCACCAGUGGCGAAGGCGGCUUGCCAGAAUGCGCUCGACGGUGAGGGAUGAAAGCUGGGGGAGCAAACCGG